rnacentral:rRNA from 1 species
UAUGUGAUCGUCUCUCGCAUAUCAAUAAGCGGAGGAAAAGAAACUAACAAGGAUUCCCCUAGUAACGGCGAGUGAAGCGGGAAGAGCUCAAAUUUGAAAUCUUAAAGGGUUUCCCUUUACGAAUUGUAGUUUAAAGAAGUGUUUUCUGUUGAGGUUUUGGUAAAAGUUCUUUGGAAUAGGACAUCAUAGAGGGUGAGAAUCCCGUAUUUGACCUUUAUUUUCAACUUUGUGAUACACUUUCAAAGAGUCGGAUUGUUUGGGAAUGCAGUCCAAAAUGGGUGGUAAAUUUCAUCUAAAGCUAAAUAUUGGCGAGAGACCGAUAGCGAACAAGUACCGUGAGGGAAAGAUGAAAAGAACUUUGAAAAGAGAGUUAAACAGUACGUGAAAUUGUCAAAAGGGAAGCGUUUGACACCAGUGUUGUUUUUCUGAAAAUCAAUUAAAGAACUGUUUAUGCUAAGCUGUUUAGACUUUAUCAGCUAUCUGCUUUAGUUUUGAGCUUUUCUUUAAUGCACUUUUCAGUUAACAAGUCAACAUCAAUUUCUUUUGCUGUAAAAAAGCUUGAGGAAGGUGGCUUGAGAUUCGUCUUAAGUGUUUAUAGCCUCUUGCCUAUGCAGUCGGAGAGAUUGAGGUCUGCAGCGUAGAUCCUUCGGGGCUAAAUGCAUUUGUGCUAAGUUAUAGCAUUUUAUAGACAACUUGUUGACUAUGAUUUGUCUUGUAGCUUACUCGCUUAUGUUAUUUUACCUACGCUUAGGAUGUUGAGUAGCGACAUACGCAC